rnacentral:rRNA from 1 species
AGUGAACGCUGGCGGCGUGCUUAACACAUGCAAGUCGAACGAGAACGGAUUAUAGCUUGCUAUAAUUGUCAGCUAAGUGGCGCACGGGUGAGUAAUGUAUAGGUAAUAUGCCUCUUACUAAGGGAUAACAAAUGGAAACGUUUGCUAAUACCUUAUACUCCUUAUUAACAUAAGUUAAUAAGGGAAAGAUUUAUUGGUAAGAGAUUAGCCUGUAUUGUAUCAGUUAGUUGGUAGGGUAAUGGCUUACCAAGACUAUGACACAUAACUGGUUUGAGAGGAUGAUCAGUCACACUGGAACUGAGACACGGUCCAGACUCCUACGGGAGGCAGCAGUGGGGAAUAUUGCACAAUGGACGGAAGUCUGAUGCAGCAGCGCCGCGUGGAGGAUGACACAUUUCGGUGCGUAAACUCCUUUUAUAUGAGAAGAUAAUGACGGUAUUAUAUGAAUAAGCACCGGCUAACUCCGUGCCAGCAGCCGCCGUAA